rnacentral:rRNA from 1 species
AGUGAACGCUGGCGGUAGGCCUAACACAUGCAAGUCGAACGGCAGCACAGUAAGAGCUUGCUCUUACGGGUGGCGAGUGGCGGACGGGUGAGGAAUACAUCGGAAUCUACUUUUUCGUGGGGGAUAACGUAGGGAAACUUACGCUAAUACCGCAUACGACCUACGGGUGAAAGCAGGGGAUGUUCGGACCUUGCGCGAUUGAAUGAGCCGAUGUCGGAUUAGCUAGUUGGCGGGGUAAAGGCCCACCAAGGCUACGAUCCGUAGCUGGUCUGAGAGGAUGAUCAGCCACACUGGAACUGAGACACGGUCCAGACUCCUACGGGAGGCAGCAGUGGGGAAUAUUGGACAAUGGGCGCAAGCCUGAUCCAGCCAUACCGCGUGGGUGAAGAAGGCCUUCGGGUUGUAAAGCCCUUUUGUUGGGAAAGAAAAGCAGCAGGUUAAUACCCCGCUGUUCUGACGGUACCCAAAGAAUAAGCACCGGCUAACUUCGUG